rnacentral:rRNA from 1 species
AGUGAACGCUGGCGGUAGGCCUAACACAUGCCAGUCGAACGGCAGCACAGUAAGAGCUUGCUCUUACGGGUGGCGAGUGGCGGACGGGUUACGAAUACAUCGGAAUCUACUUUUUCGUGGGGGAUAACGUAAGUAAACUUACGCUAAUACCGCAUACCACCUACCGGUGAAAGCAGGGGAUCUUCGGACCUUGCGCGAUUGAAUGAGCCGAUGUCGGAUUAGCUAGUUGGCUGGGUAAAGGCCCACCAAGGCGCCGAUCCGUAGCGGGUCUGAGAGGAUGAUCAGCGACACUGGAAGUGAGACACGGACAAGACUCCUACGGGAGGCAGCAGUGGGGAAUAUUGGACAAUGGGCGCAAGCCUGAUCCAGCCAUACCGCGUGUGUGGAGAAGGCCUUCGGGUUGUAAAGCCCUUUUGUUGGGAAAGAAAAGCAGCAGGUUAAUACCCAGCUGUACUGACGGUACCCAAAGAAUAAGCACCGGCUAACUACGUG